GCCACCAUAGCUCAGUUGGCAGAGCGACCGCUUCGUAAGUGGUAGGUCCAGGGUUCGACCCCCUGUGGUGGCU
rnacentral:tRNA from 4 species